CAUAGCGACUAUCGUGGCAUAUCAAUAAGCGGAGGAAAAGAAACUAACAAGGAUUCCCCUAGUAACGGCGAGUGAAGCGGGAAGAGCUCAAAUUUGAAAUCUUAAAGGGUUUCCCUUUACGAAUUGUAGUUUAAAGAAGUGUUUUCUGUUGAAGUUUCGGUAAAAGUUCUUUGGAAUAGGACAUCAUAGAGGGUGAGAAUCCGUAUUUGACCGUUAUUUUCAGCUGUGUGAUACACUUUCAAAGAGUCGGAUUGUUUGGGAAUGCAGUCCAAAAUGGGUGGUAAAUUUCAUCUAAAGCUAAAUAUUGGCGAGAGACCGAUAGCGAACAAGUACCGUGAGGGAAAGAUGAAAAGAACUUUGAAAAGAGAGUUAAACAGUACGUGAAAUUGUCGAAAGGGAAGCGUUUGACACCAGUGUUGUUUUUCCGAAAAUCAAUUAUGAAUGGCUUGAUUUUAAGUUUCAUGACCUUAAAAGCUUGUUUCUUAUUUUUCAUGUCUUUCGUAAUGUACUUUUCGGUUAACAAGUCAACAUCAAUUUCUUUUGUUGUAAAAGGUUAUGAGGAAGGUGGCUUUACUUUCGGAGUAAAGUGUUUAUAGCUUUGUACCUCUGCAAUCGGAGAGAUUGAGGUCUGCAGCGUAGAUCCUUCGGGGUUAGAUACAUUUGUGCUAAGUUAUAGCUUUCAUAGACAACUUGUUGACUAUGAUUAGUCAUUGUAGCUUACUCGCUGACGCUAUUUUACCUACGCUUAGGAUGUUGAUAGUCACAGCGUGUAC
rnacentral:rRNA from 1 species